rnacentral:rRNA from 1 species
GAGUAAAGAUUUCGGUCGCUUUGGGAGGAGCUCGCUUACUAUCAGCUUGUUGGUAGGGUAAUGGCCUACCAAGGCUAUGACGGUUAGGGGGUGUGAGAGCAUGACCCCCAGCAUUGGCACUGAAACACUGGCCAAACACCUACGGGUGGCUGCAGUCGAGAAUCUUCCACAAUGGGGGAAACCCUGAUGGAGCGAUGCUGCGUGCGGGAUGAAGGCCUUCGGGUUGUAAACCGCUUUUGUAGGGGACGAAAUUUUUGACGGUACCCUUUCGAAUAAGAGGUUGCUAACUCUGUGCCAGCAGCAGCGGUAAUACAGAGACCUCAAGCGUUAUCCGGAUUUACUGGGCGUAAAGCGUCUGUAGGGGGUUUAUUAAGUUCCAAGUAAAAUUUCAAGGCUCAACUUUGAAUUCGCUUGGAAAACUAAUAAACUGGAGUCUAGCAGAGGUGCAUGGAACUUGUGGUGUAGGAGUGAAAUCCGUUGAUAUCACAAGGAACACCAAAGGCGAAGGCAUUGCACUGGGCUAGCACUGACCCUGAGAGACGAAAGCGUGGGGAGCAAAACGGAUUAGAUACCCGUGUAGUCCACGCCCUAAACGAUGAAUGCUAAAUGUUCGGGGAUUCGACCCCCUGGGUGUUACAGCUAACGCGUUAAGCAUUCCGCUUGGUGAAGUACGUCCGCAAGGCUAAAACUUCAAAGGAAUAGACGGGGGAUCCGCACAAGCGUUUGAGCGUCUGGUGUAAUUCGACAGUAAGCGUGGUACCUCACCAGGGUUUGACAUCCCUUGACAGCCUUGGAAACAAGGUUUCCUUCGGGCAAGGUGACAGUUUCUGCAUGGUCGUCGUCAGUUCGUGCCUUGAGGUGUUCCGUUAAGUCGGGAAACGAACGAAACCCCUAUUGCAUGUUACAAUUUCUCAUGCAAGACUGCCCGGAUAUACUGGGAGGAAGGUGGGGAUGACGUCAGAUCUGCAUGGUCCUUAUACCCUGGGCGACACAGGCGCUACAAUGGCAGAGACAAAGGGUUGCAAAACCGCAAGGUGAAGCUAAUCCCAAAAACUUUGUCUAAGUUCGGAUUGAAGGCUGCAAUUCGCCUUCAUGAAGCUGGAAUCGCUAGUAAUCGUGAAUCAGCCAC